AUGGCCUGGACCCCUCUCCUGCUGCCCCUGCUCACUCUCUGCACAGGCUCUGUGGCCUCCUAUGAGCUGACCCAGUCGGACUCCUUGUCAGUGGCCCCGGGAGAGACAGUCAGCCUCACCUGCACUGGAGAUUUACUGGAUAAAAAAUAUACUUCAUGGCACCAGCAGAAGCCCGGCCAGGCCCCCGUGGCGCUCAUUUACAAGGAUAGUGAGCGGCCCUCAGGGAUCCCUGAGCGAUUCAAAGGCUCCAGCUCCGGGAAGACAAAUACCCUGACCAUCAGCAACGUCCUGGCCGAGGACGAGGCGGACUAUUACUGUCAGUCAUGGGACAGCAAUAGUAAUCACAAGAGAUUCGGGGGAGGUAGGAAAAUAACCCGCCACCCCAGGGAUAUGAGCAGUGAUGCUUCAGGGGGGGCCCGACCCCCAUCCUCCAAAUGCACCCCUUCCUCCUUCCUGGGCGACCUGAGCCUCUGGCGCCUGGUCCUGAGACAGGCCGUGGCCAUAGACAGAACAGCCACCCUCCCCUGGGACCAGCAGCUCAGGGAUCAGGGAGUCUCCCCCUGA